AUUGAAAGCUGGCGGCAGGCCUAACACAUGCAAGUCGAACGAGUGGCGGACGGGUGAGUAAUGUCUGGGAAACUGCCCGAAGGAGGGGGAGAACUACUGGAAACGGUAGCGAAUACCGCAUACCAUCGGAUGUGCCCAGAUGGGAUGAGCUAGUAGGUGGGGUAACGGCGCACCUAGGCGACGAUCCCUAGCUGGGCCGAGAGGAUGACCAGCCCCACUGGACCUUAGCCACGGUCCAGACUCCUACGGGAGGCAGCGGUGGGGACUAUUGCACAAUGGGCGCAAGCCUGAUGCAGCCAUGCCGCGUGUAUGAAGAAGGCCUUCGGGUUGUAAAGUACUUUCAGCGAGGAGGCGUUACUCGCAGAAGAAGCACCGGCUAACUCCGUGCCAGCAGCCGCGGUAAUAC
rnacentral:rRNA from 1 species